GACAGAGGGUGCAAACGUUGUUCGGAAUUACUGGGCGUAAAGCGCGUGUAGGCUGUCUCGAAAGUCGGAUGUGAAAGCCCUGGGCUCAACCUAGGAAGUGCAUUCGAAACUUCGAGACUUGAGUCCUGGAGAGGAUCGCGGAAUUCUCGGUGUAGAGGUGAAAUUCGUAGAUAUCGAGAGGAACACCGGUGGCGAAGGCGGCGAUCUGGACAGUGACUGACGCUGAGACGCGAAAGCGGGGGGAGCAAACAGG
rnacentral:rRNA from 1 species